CGUCUAUAUACGUAUAGCAUAUCAAUAAGCGGAGGAAAAGAAACUAACUAGGAUUCCCUCAGUAGCGGCGAGUGAAGCGGGAAGAGCUCAAAUUUGAAAUCUUCAAGGUUCUACCUUGACGAAUUGUAGUUUAAAGAAGUGUUUUCUGUUGGAGUUUUGGUAAAAGUUCUUUGGAAUAGGACAUCAUAGAGGGUGAGAAUCCCGUAUUUGACCAUUAUUUCCAACUUUGUGAUACACUUUCAAAGAGUCGGAUUGUUUGGGAAUGCAGUCCAAAAUGGGUGGUAAAUUUCAUCUAAAGCUAAAUACUGGCGAGAGACCGAUAGCGAACAAGUACCGUGAAGGGAAAGAUGAAAAGAACUUUGAAAAGAGAGUUAAACAGUACGUGAAAUUGUCAAAAGGGAAGCGUUUGACACCAGUGUUGUUUUCUCGAAAAUCAAUUAAAAAUGGUGGGAUUUUGUGUUGUAUUGACUUUAUCAGCUUUCUGCACUUUUUUCCUGUCUUUUUUAAUGCACUUUUCGUUUAACAAGUCAACAUCAAUUUCUUUUGUUGUAAAAGGGUCAUUGGAAGGUGGCUUUCUUUUCGGAGAAAGUGUUUAUAGCCUUUGACUUCUGCAAUCGGAGAGAUUGAGGUCUGCAGCGUAGAUCCUUCGGGGUUAGAUGCAUUUGUGCUAAGUUAUAGCCUUUCAUAGACAACUUGUUGACUAUGAUCAGUCAUGUAGCUUACUCGCUUAUGUUAAUUUUACCUACGCUUAGGAUGUUGACGAUCAGCUGAGCGCG
rnacentral:rRNA from 1 species